rnacentral:rRNA from 1 species
UCUACCAGCAGUCAAGAAUAUUAGUCAAUGCUCGCAAGAGUGAACUAGCUAACUGGAAUCAUGAGUGUGUCACUUGUGAUUAGUAAGAGGAAAAUAAUGAUAUCACUUUUACAAAUAGUGUUGUCCAAAGCUGGUGCCAGAAGACUCGGUAAGGCCAGAGACGCGAGCGUUAAUCAUCUUGAACAGGCGUAAAGGGUUUGUAGGCAGCUUUAAAAUAAUUAAAGAUUGAAUCAAAUARAGGUCAAGAGAAUUUCUAGAUUAGGGUUGAUAUCUAUAAAAACUAGAAGGAAUUCUAAUUAGCGAAGGCACUUUUCUAUCUAAUGAUUGACGCUGAGAAACGAAGGGGAGGAUAGACAAUAGGAUUAGAUACCCUGGCAUCCCUCUCUGUAAACGAUGAAUGGUAGUUGCUAGUAAUAAUUAUUAGUGGCGAUGCUAACGCGUUAACCAUUCCGCCUUGUGAGUACGAUUGCAAAGUUGAAAACAAAAAAAUUAGUCGGUUUCGGAGCAA